ensembl:lncRNA
UAAUUUCCUAUUUCUAUCUUUUUACCCUUUGACUCCUCAUUUGAAUCUCUUUUUCUCAUUAUUUGUUCUCCUCAAUAAUGAUAAGUUAGUUCCUGGAUCAUUUUUCUGUAGCUUGUCCUUUAGCAUUAAAAUAAUCUCCUUUCAGCCUAAAUAGUUGUAGCUCACUUAUUUCUCAUAUAGAAGUUACUCUAUAUCUCCGACUAUCCUUCUUGCCCUUCCCAAACUUCCUCCAGGCCCCUGUAUUGUUUAAGAAGGUAAGGGAGGACUAGGCUAGAACUCUACAACAUAUUACAAAUGUGGUAAAAUCACAGAUUUACAUAACGGCAGAGUGACAUUUUCUCUUCUGUUCAUUAUUCUCCUAAUGACUCCUAACAUUUGAUUUACUCUUUCAAUCACUACUGAGCACUGAGUGAUGUUUCUGUGUGACUAUCUAUCAUAACUCCCAACUUUCACUCCAGACGGCUCAGAGCUCAUGUAAGUGAAAUUAGGAUUUCUUCCUGUUAUGUACAUCACUAUUCAAUUACCUGCACCGAAUUUCAGCUGUCAUUUUAUUGCUCAGUCACUAAAUUUUACUACCCUGAAUAAAUUACAUAAUCAAACUUGAUUACCUCAUUGCUAAUGUGCUUUCCAGUCACUUAUGAAUAUGUUGAACAGCAAAGGUCCUAACACAGAUCUUAUGGAACCUUGUCUGUCACUGCCUUCCACUGUGAAUACAAACCAUUUAUUUCUGUCUUCCAACCAUCUAACCAUACAAGAAUCUUCCUUUUCAUGAGGUGGUGCUGAGUUUUCCUUGCUGGACUGGGUUAUAUACAUCCAACAGUAUGUUUUUUGAGUUUGGGACUCAAGUUUCAAUGCAUGUGGAUUCUUAAGUUUGCCUGCCAAAGCAAUGAGUUUCUUAGCAUAAUUAGGUUAUGAUUUAAAAAUAUAUAACACUAUAUCACUACCAAGAAGGUUUACUUUCUUUCAUCCUCUUUGAAUUGUUCUGUUAUUGUUCUAUUAUUACAGUCUUCCAUGGAUUAUCUUUCUCCAGUCAAGCUUUCCACAUCUAUACAUUGUCACUACUUUCAUUUAGAGCAAGACUCGCUUCCCCCAUGCAGGACCUUACAUUUCAAGAACUUGUAUCUGCCACGCUUUCUUCAUUAACUGACGUUCUGCCUCCACUUCCACUCUGACUGAUGUAUCAGAAAUCCUGUAACUGUGUAAGGCUUCAAACUAUAUUUUUCUGCACUUAUUGUCUUUCUCAUUACUUUUUAGUUUAAAAGCUCACUUAUGAUUUUUGUGAUUAAAGUGCCCAAAGCUUGCUUUCCUUAGAAGAGGUCCAUCCCUCCCACACAGCCUCACUGCAGUGAGGCAGAUUCUUGACACUUGAUAAACCUGACUCCCUGAUCUUUGCAGCUAUAAUAUAUGGCCGAGGAGAUGUUUGUGUUUGGCACCAGUAUUAUUAUGCUUGCAAAAAGCACAACAAUAAAUAUGCUCUAACAUCGGGUUGGUACCAUAUCUCAAUUGUGGUCCUCUCCUUCCCACAAGGAUGUCAGCACAACCAAGGGUGACAAGCUGUAGGGAGAGGAAAAAUCAAUGACAGAGGGGUAGGGAGGGAAUUUCUGAGUGAAAACAGCCAUCAAAUGACUCUGCGGUGUGCAUUUACUACCUCCCAAGUACUCUGUAAACCACAGUGCACCUGCACAUGAAUUAACACUAUAAAAAUGCAAACCAAUUAAGUCCCAUAUAUUGUUUGUAAUCAGAAGUUUUGAAAAUUACUAGACUAUGAAUGCAAACAUUCAGCAAAAUAUACUGACUUACAAAAUGUCAGGCUUAGGUUUAAAACAGAAAUACUAUUAUCAGAUUUUUGUAAUAAACACAAAACAUUUCUGCUUUUUAAGGAAAUAUUAUUGCUUACUUUCCUCAUUUUAACUUCCCCUGCAAGCACAUACAUACAUCUUUUUUUUUCUUACUGUGGGUUCAUUUAUAUUAAUAAAUACUAUACGUGAUAGUGUGACACUGUCAUCAACAAGUACAAAAAAUGUGUCUGUGGAACUAAAAAUCCCUUAGCUACCUGUCUACAUAAAUGAUGAAUAAGCACUGUUUGCAUGCUGCAGCUAUGAUUUCCCCCCUUGCUCACUGAAGCUGGAAAAAUUCGUUCUCUAAUUUGUUGGGAUUAAAAUGUUUAUCCUAAAUUCCUGUUUCAGAGCAACUCCUACAAAUAGUGCUGCCAAGUCUGGAAGUUUACUUCCACUGAAAAAUUUUUGGGACAAUUCCUGUGCACUUGUUGUCAAGCUUCUGCUGUCUACACAGCAUCUGGAUACAAAACAGAGUUCAAUAAUGUGUUCAAACACAAGUCUCCUAUUAAAAAAGAAAGAAGAAAGAGGAGGACAUAAAAACAAAAGACAACAUUAAAAUAGAAAACAUCAAUUUCAGCCUAUCAUAAGACAUCACGACAAGACAGCAUAGAAACAGGAAAUUAAAUGCCAAAUACACAGUAAAGCAUCAGUAAACCAAGUAGGUUAUGAAGACUCCUCUAUUAUUACUUGAACAUAGAGAGCAAAAUUGCAGUGACAAAAAGAUUUAAAUUACACAAUGCAUGAACAAAACCCACAAUGAUUGUGUAAUUACAGAACAAUAAUAAUUCCAUGCACAAAGAAAAUGUACAGAAAAAGCUUAGAGGCUGGAAUUUCUGCUAGUACAGAUAACACAAACUAAUGCCACACGAAAAAAAACACCAUGAAACUUAAUACAGUAAACUUUUGGUAAGUAACUUUAAGCUUAUUCAAAAGCAAAACAGAACCCAAAUUCUGUACUAUCUAGUAUAGGCAAUAUACUUUGGCAUCUCUGCAGCAGAGCUGCUGGAAGAUUAGGAUGUUAUAUUUGAAGGACUGGAAUGUCUCCCAGUCUUCCUCCCUGGCACUUUACACCAACAGCCAGUGGAGUACCUGCACCACAAAAUGGAAGCAACAAAUGCAACAGAAAUGGCACACCGCUAGUCAUGAAUCCUUGGACUCUCUUGGCAAUAACUGAACAUUUAGGAAAGCUGGUCAAGUGAAUUGUGAUGUCCUUGGUCAGUUUCAAAGGCAUAACAAGCCUUGAAAACUCAGUGUAGGACCCAACACAGAUAACUUUUUUGUUGGGACACACGGCUAUCGAUUAUAUCUCCAACAUUGGCAAGGAACUGUUUUUGUCUUUUAGACAAUUGGUUUGGGUUAAUCAACAGCAGGUGAAAGUCAUAAAAAUAAACAUAUCUAAGUUUAUCUGCAUACAUUAAGAGGCUGCUGGAUUUUAUGUUUCUUACUGGAUCUCAGUCACAGAAUACACUAAGAUUUCAGCUGUCAUACAGUUCUACCACCUCAAUACUGCCAUAUAGCAUUGUCUCAGUAUUCUAGUAUAUUUUCUUUCAAAAUACUGGACUGUGCAUGCAGCUUUGUAGCCAACAUGGAUAUUAUUUCAUGGAUAUUAUUCAAGUGGAUAAAGUAUUUUCAGCUACCUCUUCAAUCAUCAUUAUUUUUUUUAAUAAGUAUGAACAUUAGAUGUUUACCGACUAUUAAUUUUUUAUCUCAAUAUUUUCCACUGGAAUAGCACUUUGAGAAGCAAGUUGGCAGGGCUGGAAACCCAAGCCUGUUAUCCAAACAAAAGCAAACCAAGAAAGAGUAGGAGGCCCCUGUCUUUGAUAAAUGAACAGAGCAUUUCAGCGAAGCUGAAAACAUUAAUCUUUCUUUGGGAAUUAAUAUAUUACUAUUGGAAAACUGUUUCUUUAGUGAAAUUCCUCAUACAAAAUUUAUACUGCAGUUCUUGCAAUGCAUAAUUUCAGCAAUUACCUACAGGCCAAAUAUACACCAGCUCUUUCUAUUUCUUUUUGCUGUUUUAUCACUAUGAAAGAAGACUGCUGUUUUUACUGGCAUUUCCACAUUACCCUAAGUUCUAGAUCAGACUAUGUCCUAUAAACAUAAAAUUUGUCUUCUUGAUGCAGCUCAUUUCAUUUUGGUAACAGGUAUAAAGUCUUAACUGCACCCACUGCUUUGUGUCCACAGUAGGUAAAUGUGUUGGUACAGCUAUCAAAAAGCCCCCGUGUGGAGGCCUUGGUUAUCCUGGACAGAAGAAGAAAUUUUCCAAAUGCACUUAUCCAGUCUCAGCCUUCAGGAAGAAAUGAAAACUCGCAUUCCAAAAUCCUGAUUUCUCUCCUUGAUAUGAUUAAAUUUGGUAGCUAAAGGCAAGUGUUCAGAUGUAAUUUAAUGAGAUAUUUGAAAAGCAUUUAAUUAAUUGCUGACAAAAACCAGCUCCAUACAUUUCCAGCAGAAGAUGAUAAAAAUUAUCAAUACUUGAUGAUGAAAAAAACCCAGUAAAUAAAACCUUGUUGCUAUAAGUUACAGGUAUCAGUACUUUGCCUGCUAUUUAAUUUUGAUCAAUAAAUGGAAGUACACAUUUAAUUCUAUUUCCUGAGAAAUACUGAAAUAGAGAAAAUGAUAUAAAAGCAUUAAGUGAUAAAGGCAGGGAGACUGAAUUUGCUUGAUCAACUAGGCCCACGCAAUAUCAAAUGCAUUUUAAUAGAGGCCGCUGAAACACUACACGGGCUGAAAUAAAGAAACUGGCCAUAUGUUGGCCAUAUGGGGUAGGGGGAGGAAAAGAAGGAUAUCCUAGAAUGCAAGGAGAAGAAUUUGAGCAUCUCAACAGCUGAGCAACUCAGUGAUUCCGGGCAAAAGCCAGUCUUGAAUCUACUAUUGGGCAAAAGACUGCGUAGCCUUAAACUAAAAUUCAUUUUAUCACUGCAGGCAGCAUCCUCAUAGCAGUUCCGUUUAUACAGAGAUCACAGGAUAGUUUGGGUUGGAAGGGCCCUCAAAGCCCACCCAGCCCCAUCCCCUGCUGUGGGCAGAGCUGCCCCCCGCCAGCUCAGCUGCCCAGGGCCCCAUCCAACCUGGCCUUGAGCGCCUCCAGGGAUGGGGCACCACAGCUUCUCUGGGCAGCUGUGCCAGCGCCUCACCGCCCUCUGAGGGAAAACACACCUUUUCUGAGUACUUGAAAUUAAAAGGCGCAGAAGAAAAACCUAACUCAGAAAGCCUUAGAAUUUGAAACAGGCUAAGCUAUUCAGAUAAUGGAAAAAGCUCAAUGAAGUGACCCUUCAAAAGCAGGCGCUGAAAGCUUUGAAUUUAUUAAGGCACGGUAAAAACGUCAAUUUAAAAAUGGAAGCUUUGUGAAUUCUAACAGGGAACACAGCAGUUCCAUUGGAAGCAGCGAAGGCCACCAAGAGCUAGAACGAUAUAUGGGUGGAAGCAUCUCCUCUUUAAUGGCAUGAACCCACCACAGCCAC